rnacentral:rRNA from 1 species
CUCCUUUGACGUUAGCGGCGGACGGGUGAGUAACACGUGGGUAACCUACCUAUAAGACUGGGAUAACUUCGGGAAACCGGAGCUAAUACCGGAUAAUAUUUCGAACCGCAUGGUUCGAUAGUGAAAGGUGGUUUUGCUAUCACUUAUAGAUGGACCCGCGCCGUAUUAGCUAGUUGGUAAGGUAACGGCUUACCAAGGCGACGAUACGUAGCCGACCUGAGAGGGUGAUCGGCCACACUGGAACUGAGACACGGUCCAGACUCCCUACGGGAGGCGAGCUAGAC